UUGAUUGAUGGUGCUUGCACCUGAUUGAUUUUGGUCGCCAACGAGUGGCGGACGGGUGAGUAACACGUAGGUAACCUGCCCAGAAGCGGGGGACAACAUUUGGAAACAGAUGCUAAUACCGCAUAACAGCGUUGUUCGCAUGAACAACGCUUAAAAGAUGGCUUCUCGCUAUCACUUCUGGAUGGACCUGCGGUGCAUUAGCUUGUUGGUGGGGUAACGGCCUACCAAGGCGAUGAUGCAUAGCCGAGUUGAGAGACUGAUCGGCCACAAUGGGACUGAGACACGGCCCAUACUCCUACGGGAGGCAGCAGUAGGGAAUCUUCCACAAUGGGCGCAAGCCUGAUGGAGCAACACCGCGUGAGUGAAGAAGGGUUUCGGCUCGUAAAGCUCUGUUGUUAAAGAAGAACACGUAUGAGAGUAACUGUUCAUACGUUGACGGUAUUUAACCAGAAAGUCACGGCUAACUACGUGCCAGCAGCCGCGGUAAUACGUAGGUGGCAAGCGUUAUCCGGAUUUAUUGGGCGUAAAGAGAGUGCAGGCGGUUUUCUAAGUCUGAUGUGAAAGCCUUCGGCUUAACCGGAGAAGUGCAUCGGAAACUGGAUAACUUGAGUGCAGAAGAGGGUAGUGGAACUCCAUGUGUAGCGGUGGAAUGCGUAGAUAUAUGGAAGAACACCAGUGGCGAAGGCGGCUACCUGGUCUGCAACUGACGCUGAGACUCGAAAGCAUGGGUAGCGAACAGGAUUAGAUACCCUGGUAGUCCAUGCCGUAAACGAUGAGUGCUAGGUGUUGGAGGGUUUCCGCCCUUCAGUGCCGGAGCUAACGCAUUAAGCACUCCGCCUGGGGAGUACGACCGCAAGGUUGAAACUCAAAGGAAUUGACGGGGGCCCGCACAAGCGGUGGAGCAUGUGGUUUAAUUCGAAGCUACGCGAAGAACCUUACCAGGUCUUGACAUCUUGCGCCAACCCUAGAGAUAGGGCGUUUCCUUCGGGAACGCAAUGACAGGUGGUGCAUGGUCGUCGUCAGCUCGUGUCGUGAGAUGUUGGGUUAAGUCCCGCAACGAGCGCAACCCUUGUUACUAGUUGCCAGCAUUAAGUUGGGCACUCUAGUGAGACUGCCGGUGACAAACCGGAGGAAGGUGGGGACGACGUCAGAUCAUCAUGCCCCUUAUGACCUGGGCUACACACGUGCUACAAUGGACGGUACAACGAGUCGCGAACUCGCGAGGGCAAGCAAAUCUCUUAAAACCGUUCUCAGUUCGGACUGCAGGCUGCAACUCGCCUGCACGAAGUCGGAAUCGCUAGUAAUCGCGGAUCAGCAUGCCGCGGUGAAUACGUUCCCGGGCCUUGUACACACCGCCCGUCACACCAUGAGAGUUUGUAACACCCAAAGUCGGUGGGGUAACCUUUUAGGAGCCAGC
rnacentral:rRNA from 2 species